CACAUACCCCUUGCUUUGGGAAACUGCUAGGCACUUAGAUUCAAUCCAGCUAAAAAGUUCGUAAGAUUCCUCUGUUUGAUGUUUUUCCACCUUCUGGCAUUGUCAAAGACUGCUCUUGGCUUCUCUAUGAUACCAAAUGCUGUCAGACCACAGCCGAAUGAUUCUUACUGCCUUAGGAAACAAGCAUGAAUCAUCUUGGUGUGCCAGGUAGCUGAAUGGAUCAAGCUUUAAAACAUUUGAGCUGUUCUGGGACUCCAGGCCUUCUAAAACACAUUAAAAAACAAUUUAAUGUAAUUUGAAGGUAAUUUUAUGGACAGGUAAGGAUUGUUAUUAUAAUUAUUAUUGUAAAUGUUUCUAAGUGGCUUUGAGCAGAGAAUGUGCCCACAGGAGUCACCCUGUGACUGUUAAUUUUGACAAUGUCCCAGUGAAAGCAUUGGCUGAGGAUUCCUGCCUUGCUCUGGCUGCCUACAGAAGUCCUGAAGACACCUGGACCUGCCCUCCUUAUGAUGCUCUACUCUCAGACAUACCAUGAAACACUGGGAAGCAUAUUUGGAGUCAGCUCUUCUCCAAAUAAGGGACUCUGAUGGAGCAGCUCACCACUGACAGCUGCUGGUGAACAAGGGAGCUGCCCGGAGACCUCCCCAAACUGCAGACAAGCUUUGACAGAGAGAGCGUGAACUGGCAGAAGACAAGCAGAAGAACAGACUAAACAGACCAGGUAGCUGGGAGCAGCACUUGACUUCUUGUUGUGCAGACACAAGCUCAGGAUUUCCAGUCAGUAUCUUCACCUAAGUACCUCUACUUUUGCUGCAGUGAGAAAUGCGGUUCUCCACUUUGUUUACCAGCUUCUGAUUAGGUUUACGUAGGGCAGUUCUUACGCUGUCCCUGGCCUGCUGUGGAGAAUAACCCCUAUGCUUUGUCAUCCACUUCUCCCAAACCCCACACUCUCAAAUUUGUUAGGUACUGGGAGAAGGGUGGCAGAAUUUCUUUCUAAUCCCCCUUUAACGUGAGCAGUGAAAUGAUAAACCCAAAUGAAGAAAAUUCAAAGGAGAUAAAAGCUUUAAUAGCAUCAGAAAUAGCAUGUUUAUUAUCUGAGGGGUGUGUAUGGGAAGUUCCACAGCAAGAAUUCCUGAGUAUUACCUGUUUAAAUACAUUUAAAUAUAUUUAAAGCCUGCCUCUCAAAGAGCCACUGAAUGACAGGCACUUCGCUAGGUGCCUAUGUCCAUGACCACCUUAAAAAAAAACACUCGUCCAAGUUGCUUGUGACACUGACUAUUUCUGAGAGAAGCAAAGAUUCAUUUUAGUGCAUCUGAACUUACUAAUCUGACUUGACCCGAGCCGAGGACACCACACCUCUCUGCCUGCACGAUCUCCCAAGGCCAUUAGUAAACUAGUUUGAAAUAUAAUGGGAAGGAGGUACAGAGCCAAGGAAAUGUUUAACCUGAUUACGCUCAUCAGUAGCACAAAUCUAUUCACAUGGAAGCAUCCCAAGUGCCAGUGAUGUGCUAUUUUUUUUAAGGCUGUCCUGCCUGUGAGUUGUUAAAUGGUGUGAGUUAUUUAUAAGGAUUUGUAAUAAAUCCCACGGGCAGUGACAGGCACUUAACUUUUUAAUAACUUGCAAAAGUGUUUGUGAAUGGGGACUGUUAACGGAUCCGUAGCUUCUCAGUGUGUGUCCCCUUUGGUUUAAUAGCUUACAGAUAUAAAAGUACCUUGGAUUUUUCCUUCCAGCAGAAUUCAGGGUUACCCAUGAGACGUAUUUCCAGGGCUAGCUGGCACGUUGCAAUUCUGCAGGCAAGAAAAGAACGGCAAGGGUGAUGCAGAAGAGCCACGAGCAACCUAUGACGGAUGCAGUUUCCCCACCCGUCCCUUAACCAAGGCAGGUGCAGUUUGGCUUCAGCAGAGGUAAAGGCCUGCCUGCAGCUGGGCUGAGAACUCCACUGAGAAACCCACAAGGAGCAGGGUGAGGCAGUGAACACCGAUAAGGAGCCUUGGGAUGGCUCUGUUACAUGCAAUUUGACUAUGAGUCAACCACUUUUAUCCUAUAAAUAUGACAGCCUUCGUGAGCCUUCCUUGAACUCUCCCUGCUUGGCAGCGUGGCUGCAUGGCGAUGAGCUCCCCUUGCCCUGGGAGGAUACCUUUCAAGGGUGCUCCUCGAAGCAAUCUGAUCGUUUACCAGCAACAGGUCGCUGGUGAGCCCCAUUUGAAUCCUCCGUGGAUGGCAGCUGGACUGCACACCUGCCAGUUCUCCUCUUUAACAGAGAUUAGUUGUUUAGCCUAAAUAAGUAAUAUUUUAAAAAGAAUAAAUAAUUUCAAGUUAUAAUAUUGUGUGGUUUAGUAUGCUGUUUGCUUAGCUUUCUUAGCAUGAAUAGCCAGAAUUGCUCUGAAGGACUAGGCCACAAGCUGGGAGUUUCCAGUUAAAAUCUUUUUUUUUUCAGGCAAAACAAGGCCUCCAGAGUCAACAAAACACAGGAAAAUACAAAGGCUUCAAGGAUACAGAUCAUCAAUACCAGCUGCACUGAGACAAGGUAGCCUGUCUUGAAAGACAGCAAAGAAAUCCAAGGAGGAACAAAAAGACCCCAGACCCAAAAAUUAUUACUAGAUCAAGCUACGGUGUGAGGGGCGGGUAAAUAGUCUGCAAGUGUGUAAUUGCACAGGGAUUUCUUUGUUUGAGUUGGACUCUCUCCAGAGUUGACCAUGCUGCUGUGUCCCUCUGUUAUUUAUUUUAUAAAAUUGGACACCUGAAAGUCUGCUUUGUGAAACCAUGGAUUCUAACUUCGGUUACUUUGGAACUAAUGCUGGACAUCCAGCUGGAAAGACCUGCUGCCCAGGAGUCUGUUAACAAAACGUCAGAUUUGGACUCCAGAGUGAACUCACGCCAGAUGCCCAGGAAUUGGGAAAAAGCGCGAGGGAGCUUUGAAACCUUAGCUGAGUGACAGAGGGGAUAGGGUGUGCAUAUGUAAUUAUUUAGGUAUAAACACAUAUAACCCCAUUUUCCCUCUGUGUGUUUCCUCUAUGUAAUAUGUAAUAGCGUGACAUUAUCAUUGAACUCUAUUACAA